rnacentral:rRNA from 1 species
AUUGAACGCUGGCGGAAUGCUUUACACAUGCAAGUCGAGCGGCAGCGCGGGGGCAACCCUGGCGGCGAGCGGCGAACGGGUGAGUAAUGUAUCGGAACGUACCCAGUCGUGGGGGAUAACUAUCCGAAAGGAUAGCUAAUACCGCAUACGACCUGAGGGUGAAAGCGGGGGACCGUAAGGCCUCGCGCGAUUGGAGCGGCCGAUAUCGGAUUAGCUAGUUGGUGGGGUAAAGGCCUACCAAGGCGACGAUCCGUAGCGGGUCUGAGAGGAUGAUCCGCCACACUGGGACUGAGACACGGCCCAGACUCCUACGGGAGGCAGCAGUGGGGAAUUUUGGACAAUGGGCGGAAGCCUGAUCCAGCCAUGCCGCGUGAGUGAAGAAGGCC